AAUCAACGCUGGCGGCGUGCCUCAGACAUGCAAGUCGAACGCGAAAGCCCCCUUCGGGGGGCAAGUAGAGUGGCGCACGGGUGAGUAACACGUAGGUAAUCUACCUUUGGAUGGGGAAUAACAACCGGAAACGGUUGCUAAUACCGCAUAAUGCAGCGGCACCUAAUGGUGACAGUUGUUAAAGCGGGGGAUCGCAAGACCUCGCGUCUGAAGAGGAGCCUGCGGCGGAUUAGCUAGUUGGUAAGGUAACGGCUUACCAAGGCUAUGAUCCGUAGCCGGCCUGAGAGGGCGGUCGGCCACACUGACACUGACAUACGGGUCAGACUCCUACGGGAGGCAGCAGUCGGGAAUUUUGGGCAAUGGGCGAAAGCCUGACCCAGCAACGCCGCGUGAAGGAUGAAAUCCUUCGGGAUGUAAACUUCGCAAGAACAGGAAGAAUAAGUAAGGGUUAAUAUCUCUUACGAUGACGGUACUGUUUGUAAGCUCCGGCUAACUCCGUGC
rnacentral:rRNA from 1 species